rnacentral:rRNA from 1 species
CCUACGGGGGGCUGCAGUAAGGAAUAUUGGUCAAUGGACGCAAGUCUGAACCAGCCAUGCCGCGUGGAGGAUGAAGGUCCUCUGGAUUGUAAACUUCUUUUAUCUGGGACGAAACACUCCUAUUCUUAGGGGCCUGACGGUACCAGAUGAAUAAGCACCGGCUAACUCCGUGCCAGCAGCCGCGGUAAUACGGAGGGUGCAAGCGUUAUCGGGAUUCACUGGGUUUAAGGGGUGCGUAGGUGUCUAUAUAGAAAUCCCCGGGCUUAACUUGGGAACUGCCGUUGAUACUAUAUGUCUUGAAUAUCGUAGAGGUAAGCGGAAUAUGUCAUGUAGCGGUGAAAUGCUUAGAGAUGACAUAGAACACCAAUUGCGAAGGCAGCUUGCUAUGCGAUAAUUGACACUGAGGCACGAAAGCGUGGGUAGCAAACAGGAUUAGAUACCCGAGUAGUC